GAAACAGAAACUAUUUAGUGCUCUUAGAAAAACAAAAAGAACACUCGAGGCUGCUGCAGGUCCCCAGGCUGGCCCUGAGUUCGUACACUCAGUUAUGGUGCUUCUUCAACAGCUGUUGGAGGAGAAACCCAUCCCAGAGAGACAUUCCCUAAUCCCCACGUUGCUCCUCUGGCCAGAGACCAGCUCACAGGCCUGCACUUCCAAAAUGGAUUUGUUACACGUAAGGACUACAUGGCUGGAUUUUAAUCCCGCAGGCGAGGAAUGCUGCCAAUGUUAUUCACAGAGGAUGGGACUUACAGAGAAGGAAGCAGAGAAGUAAAUACAAUCUCAACAAAAGUUGCAAAACAUUGUAAUGUAAAACAUCCUUAAUUCCUAAGGAUUCUUCUGAAAAUUCCCAGUUUUGCACUAUGUUAUAACGAUUUGUAACACACAGAAAUACUGUAACAGGAUUUGCAAACA